CACAGAUGUAGUUUCAGGUGUAGUGGUACUGGUAACCAUCACGUACACUCAGUCUGAAGAGUUAUCUUGUUCCGUAGGCUAGCUUGAGCGAGUGAUUGUUUGUCACAUAGCAAGUCCCCGCAACUCUUUGAGGCCCCAUUGCUAGAUCACUAUUUGCCAACUGGAGUUGAGGUUUUGUCCAAACCAUCACGCACAGUAAGUCGCAAGAGUUAUCUUGUGUCUGUGACUUGCUUACUUGAGGACAAGGAGUGGUUGUUUGUGAUAUAGCAAGUCCUUGUGUCUCUUUGCUGCUAGAUCACUAUUUACCAAUUAGAGUUGAGGUUGGAAUAUAGUGAAAAUCAAACUCACGUUUUGCCUAGUUCUCUCGAACGGAGGUUAAACAUGAGAAUGGAACUCCUCAAUUUAUGCUAUUUCAAGCAAUUAUCAAGAAUGGUUCAUUGAGUGUGAAAAUCGAACUCCCGAUUUUUAUUUCAAGCAAGUUAUCAAGAAUGGUUGGAGACCAUGUUAUUUGCUAAAUGAUUGAUAUGCCAUAUACCAUGAGAAUGGAAAUAUUGGCUGUCUCAAGCAAGUAAGGAAGAAUGGUAGGCGAUCAUGUUCUUUGGAGAUAUUCGAUGGAAAUGGAACUCUUUUUAUCACCAUACCGGUGUGAAGUCAGUGUUUUCAAGUCAAUACGACAACAAAUUUUAGUGCGUUCCAAAUGGGUAAAUGGAGUAACUUGCUUGUAAUUUUUAUUUUUGUGGUGUAAACAUAUAAUGUGUUAUAAUUCAAUUAGAAACAGAAUUGUAGUUUUAUUUAAGUUUGCAUAUAGUCCUUGAAGAAUUAUCAAUCAA